rnacentral:rRNA from 1 species
UACGGAGGGGGCUAGCGUUGUUCGGAAUUACUGGGCGUAAAGCGCACGUAGGCGGCUUUGUAAGUCAGGGGUGAAAGCCCGGAGCUCAACUCCAGAACUGCCUUUGAGACUGCAUCGCUUGAAUCCGGGAGAGGUAAGUGGAAUUCCGAGUGUAGAGGUGAAAUUCGUAGAUAUUCGGAAGAACACCAGUGGCGAAGGCGGCUUACUGGACCGGGAUUGACGCUGAGGUGCGAAAGCGUGGGGAGCAAACAGG